GCACUGCAGUUUAAUACAUUACAGUGCAUUGCGCUUUGUUAUACUGGUGUGAAGCGUGUGUGAUUAGUCAUUGAGAGCGAGUGUGUAAGUGCAGUGCAAUACAUUGCGCUUAGGAUUGCAAAGAUCAUUGCCAGUGGCUGGACAGACCAGUGGCACUGGUUUGUAAUGCUAGUACUGUACCAGUGUAGUUUCGUGUAUUUUUAUUUUUCAGUACAGGUAAUAGCGGCGCUUUGCAGUGAUUGUAAGCGCAGUUAAAUGCAAGGGUAUUGUUGUGUUAGGGGAUGGUGCAUUGCAGUGUUGUAGGCAGGGCUUCAUUUGAGUCGGAGCUGUCCGAGACUCAGUUCCGGAAACGAUUCCCCCCCACCCCACGCUGUCGGGGAAGGGGCGACGGGGGGUGACCGGGUUUGGUUUGGGGUUGGUUGGUGCAGGAAAUUUUUAAAUGUUAAAUUAAGCGCCGAGUGUCGGGUACCUGCGUUUUAGCGUGAUGCAAUGCAGGAGGCCCUACAGAAAGAUAGUGAUAUCGGGAAUAGACGAUGCCCUGCGAGAACUCAUUCUACCCUGGCUGCCCUGGCUUAUCCCUGGGGCUCAUGGUUGUUGGUGCUGAGCCCUGCCGUGGUGUUUAUGCUGCUUGUUUCCCUGAAUUAACCACACAACCCAGCUUUUGCCCUGUUUUAUAGUGGAAAAAGCAUCUUAAUAUGCGACUCCAUCUAGAGAGGCUAUAUACAAUAAAAUCGCUAGUCUAGUUGUAUGCUGUUGAAUUGUGGGUUGGCUGUAAAGCUUUGCCGUGAUGUGCAGUGUGGAUGAUUGUGUUUGGUUGUGCAAGUCAGGUACAUUACAGUAUUUUAUGGCACCCGUAUUGAAGAAGCUACGCUGCUGAUUUAAGCCAGUACACUGCUGUAUACUGUAAUAUUAAGUACACUGCCACAAGCGAUGGUGAUUUUAGAACCUUCAAAAACCUAAAUGAAUGCGCUGCAGUCUCACGCCUAUUAAUUUGGUAUUUUGCGUUACCAAUAAUUACUGCGUGACUCUGCUAAGAUUUCUAAAGCAUUUCACUCGGAUUUAACACGCAGGCUCUCGCGAGCAAUAUGAUUCAUGAUUGACUUUGUGUUGUAUUUAAUAACUAAAAUAUGUCGUAUACCCUCCUCUACGCGACGCAGCCAAUUAAUAAAGUUGUCACGUGAACAAACGUGCCAAUCAAUAUUACUGCAUAGUUGUCAACCCAUAGAGUUUACCCGUUUCAUUGUACAGGGAAAUUGAGUUUCCAGGCCCAUAGGGCAUACAGUCCUUUCCAUACGGGCAAAAUUUUGUAUAUUUGUUUGUUUCUCCCUUGUGGUGGAACUUUAUAGGAUGCACAUUGAAAUUUAUAAGGGCACCCGGUGACCAAUUUGGUCUGAAUUGGCCUUCAAUAAGGUAAGCACUCGGGGCUUUACAUGUAUGUUACUGCUUCAGCAGCAUGUACGUUGGAGAGGGAUCCGCAAAAUUAACAAUCGAGUACGACGUUUCGCUGAUAGUUACAAAUAACAUCAUCAGGCAGUUGCUAGAAUUGUGAAAAUGUCCUACAUUCUUGAGCCUUAAUUUUGGACUGCUGUCCAACGUGUGCUGAAGCAGUAAUAAGCAUUGAUUGGCACGUUUUAUUCACGUGACAACCUUAGAUACUGGCUGCGUUAGGAGAAGGGUGUACGACACACAUGACAACUUUUGUUUGCCCAUACUCCACCUUGCUGGUCCCUUCUGGUUGGAGAAGGGGUUGUUCCAGAACGUUUUUCUGACAUCACUCACCACUGACGUUAGCCAUGGCUCAGAUUUCAGGAUUAAUUGUGCAGUGCCCUGACCAGUCAACGCUGAAUAAUUUUAAUAAGGCGCAUUUUAUCGCCAGACACAUUUGAAAUAAAAAGUAUAUCCCAUUUUGCCACCAAAUUGGUAAUUGUGUGUUUUCAUCUGGCUCUGUGACCUCUCAUUACCGCAAGGUUCUCCCCUCCAGAAUUCAAGCCCUGCCUAUCAAUUUGUCUUGUGUGUCACAACCAAUGCUGGUGUUAAUUUACUGCAAAGCUAUUUAAUGGCUUGGUUUAUGAUUUCAGAUACACAAACCUACUAUUGGGAUCUGUUAAAUGGGGCUAUUAAUCAACCUAAAUGUUACGAGAUAAUUUCACAAAUAUACAUGCUUUGCGACUCACCUGAGAUGAACCACAGUAGUUCUCUGCAACCUGAAUAAUGAUAAUAUAAUGACUAAGCAAUGAUAAAAUAAUGAACGAUGAGCAUUGCUGUGCAUGAUUCAGAAUUGCAGUAACAGCAUGGUAGUUAAUGGACACCUCAGUUUACCGUGGGAAGGUGAAUUUGGAAUGAUUUCUAACGUUGUGGGUGUAACUUAAAUAUGCAGCAAUUUCAGUUAAGUAUAUGCGGGUGUACAAUUACAUUUUAACCACCGGCAACAUAUCUGUUGAACUACAGCUCGCAUAACCAUCUAACGUCUUAAUUCGCUAGGUGCCAUCUGUGUUAUACCCCAUUUGUCCAAUUGACCUGCUUCAUUUGGCCAUAUGUAAAUUAUUUUGGUGGCAUCUGAUCUACUAUGUGUGUUUGGACCACGAAUAGCAUGUUCCCUAAUAUUUAUUGGAGAUUAAUGCAUUGCAUCAUCUCCAUCUUGGGUAUCUUUCAGCACAGGUGCAGCACUUGCCAUGCCAGAUGAACAGAGGUUGUUCGUGCAGGAGGAGAUUCCUGUAGAGUAAUGAGAACGCCUUCUACAUCGAUCGCACGUCACCGAGGUGAGUAUCGCUGCUCAGGGUUGGCCAUGAGCUGGAGCGGAACACCGUUCAGAAUUUCUCUGUGUCAACCCCCUUUGCAAGUAUUUACAACGUUGAUCGUCAUUCCAAAAAAAAUCCAUUAUAAGUUAUUAUUCUUUCUGUGAUAUAUUUGGACUAAGCUUCUGAAGAAGGGUGAUUUACAUAUACACCUAUAUAUUUUUAUGCAAUGAUAAUGUAAUGUAUUUAUCCGGUAAGCCUCAUUGAGUUAAAGACUGUUUCUGAUCUGGGUCCUGCUUUGAAAUGUUUGAGCUAAAUUCUAUUAAGGGAAUUGAAUGCAUGUGGGAGGAAAUCAGAGUAUUAGGGAAACCCCAUACAAAUAAAAAAAAUGCUUCAAGGUAUACAUAGAUGAGUUUGCAAACUCAUUCGCUGUACUGCUUUGUCCUAUACAGCUUACAGCUCAAUGACUUUUGGAGCUUCACAGAUCACAGGAGUGCACCACCACAACCAACUGAGACAAUAUUUCAUCUUGCCAUUAAGCAGCAGUGUGUUAAUUACGAUGGCAGUACUGUAAUAAAUGUAAGCAUACUUAAAAAAAUGUACGGGAUUGUGGAAAUAACGUUUUAACUUAUUGCCAUAAGCUGUGUGUCACCAGAUGGCAUUGUCUCAAAGGAUAGACACUUGAACCUCCUCCACAUGUACCCGCACCUCCAAGCUUUGAACAAUGCCGCAGAGGUGCACAAUGCAUCGAGCGACCUCAAAAGCCUCGGCACAAUUCAUCUCGCGGCACAGAUUUAUCUCGCCUCGAUCACACGUCGGUCCAGUGCAUUUCCCGAUUUAUAGUGCCAGGGCAUUGCAGAGCUGUAUCGACAUCAUGGCUUGCAAGAGCCCACUCGUUUUUUAUAAGGCCUGAUGCACAGCGUUUUAAUAGCGAAGCACUCACAGCGUUGGGGUCUGGGGUAAACAACGUCAACUGCAUAGGGGGAGGUCCAGGCAUUUGUAGCUUUGUGGGAGGUUUGAGAGAUGGGGAGCUGGGAAUAUGUCAGGGUAUGGGGGGGGGUGUCGGGCAUCAUAGUGGAUACUGGGGGGAAACUAAGCCCUCGUGGCGUCUCACAUUCGCUGCAGGACAGCGAAACAUCGGCAAACUUCCCCAAGGUGAGACCUCGUUUGAAAGCCGCUUCGCUUUCAAUGUCAAUCCCGAAGCCCCAUGCGACAUCCUUGCAUGUUUAAUCAAGGUGGCGUUGCACACUAAUUGGCGCCGACCUCCUUUAAGUUGCAGUACUUUCCCUGCGAUGCUGUAACCGAAAAAUGUGCGCAGAGUAAAUGUAAAAAUUCAGUCUCGUCGUGCGACAGCUAUAACCAAUGCAUGCAAUGUAUCAUCAAGUGCAACCCUCUACUGAAGGUCAUUUCACAGCAUCAUGUAGCCCCCAACCCUAUUAUCAGCCGCUUCAUUGCCAAACACGUCCUCGCUCUAUUUGCAGGCACGUCUUACUAAGCAGACAGCAAUAACGGCGAUCCGUCACACUCGCGUAAAUGCGGGGAAUGUGAUAAUCCUGGGAUUGACGGAACAAGAAGGACGGUGGCAGCGAGACGUGCGUGGGAUUCGCCACGGUGGGAGCCUGCGAUGUGCUGCUGCCGCGAUAAGGCGUGCACGGUGGCGACCGUACGGCCACAGGGGGCCAAGUUCAUGUGAGCUCGCUGGCGCAUCCUGCCAGUGGUGUAGUUAUCGAGGGUGCAGGCGGUGCGGCGAUGUUUUCUUCACCGAGAGAACAAAAGUGCGUGUGCUUGUGGUGACAGGAUGACGACGGUGAGACGGGCUUCACCGAGGCCCUUCCCUGAAGCCAUAAGAACACACGGCUACCUUUUUUAAUGUUCAGUGGCCUCUACCAUCGUUCGUAAGGGCAGAUGAGUCUGGUGUUCUCGAUGACAAAAUGUGAUUUUUGUUGUCGUGACGUUACGAAGAGUCUCACCUGAGUUUGACCGAUUUAUGUUGCCACUUGUCAUCAGGGGGCCACCUGUUGGUGGGCUGGUGAAAAAAAAAAUAUAACACAAAUGAAAUCACUCUGCCGAAAAGGAAAAAAUGAGGUGCGGCGUGACAUCACUCCUCUCUGCUGGGACCAACUUGCGGUGAUGCCGAGCUUGGGCUCAUUGGGUGAAACGCUCUCGUCGCCAUUAACUUACAUGAAUGUGGGUAACGGAGCGUGAUUUAUUGGCGCGUUCAUCUCCCAAGGAUGGGAGUGCAGUGGUGACAGGGGCUUGAAUCAACGUUGACGCCUUCCGCAGAGCCCACCGAGCUUUAAUUGAUGGAAAGAGGGCCAAAGACGAGGCUUUGCUUUCAGAAAUCUCCUUUGCAGCCUAUACAUGCUGCUCGUGUCGUGAGCGAGCACCUAUUAAAGACCUGCAUGGCACACGAGGGGGCGGUGUGGUCAGUACUACUCCGGGCAUCGGCAACCACUUUCACCAACCCAUACUGACCCAGUGUGGUGAAAUAUGAUAAAAAAAACAAUUCCCAUGACUGACACGACAUUCGUUUCAUCCAGCAGCGGAUUGCUUAUAAAGGCUGAGAGCCAUGCUAGGACAAGCUAAAAGAUGGAUGCUAGCAUUCAGAAUAUUUUAUUCAUCAAAAACACUUGUAAUCAUGCUGUUAAAACAAUUAAUCUAGAAUAGUGUUAAUACACACAAAGAGUAAUUUCCAGACAGUAAAAAGAGCUAUUGUGACCACUGCAUGACAUCACCAUCCUGCUUGUACAGAACUGUUUUUUUGAAUCUCGGUGGUCUAAAACAAGGGUGUUGUGUAUGAUACAGGGUGCUUCAAAUUGUUUUUUUUACACUUCU